rnacentral:rRNA from 1 species
ACGAACGCUGGCGGCGUGCUUAACACAUGCCAGUCGAACGGAAAGGCCCAGCUUGCUGGGUGCUCGAGUGGCGAACGGGUGAGUAACACGUGGGUGAUCUGCCCCUAACUUCGGGAUAAGCUUGGGAAACUGGGUCUGAUACCGGAUAGGACAAUCGUUUAGUGUCGGUUGUGGAAAGUUUUUUCGGUUAGGGAUGAGCCCGCGGCCUAUCAGCUUGUUGGUGGGGUAAUGGCCUACCAAGGCGUCGACGGGUAGCCGGCCUGAGAGGGUGGACGGCCACAUUGGGACUGAGAUACGGCCCAGACUCCUACGGGAGGCAGCAGUGGGGAAUAUUGCACAAUGGGCGCAAGCCUGAUGCAGCGACGCCGCGUGGGGGAUGACGGCCUUCGGGUUGUAAACCUCUUUCGACAGGGACGAAGCUUUGGUGACGGUACCUGUAUAAGAAGCACCGGCUAACUACGUG